AUAUUCCAAGCUAUUCUUACAAUAAACAGCAAUGGCAGGACACGAUGUCCUGCCAAGCGACUACUGAGCCACGAUGGCGAAUAGGAGCGUAUGCGUCCGUCCUCACCACCUGCAUUAAGAAUAGCUUAAGAAUAUCCAAUUGUC
rnacentral:ncRNA from 1 species